ensembl:lncRNA
UGUGGUGCAUAAAUUUAUUUCAACAUAUAUUAACAUUUUGUAUAUUCCUUUUUAAAUUUUGUUAAAGACACAGUACAUACAGUAUUUACAUGAGCUUCUACGAUUUUUCAACAAAAAAACAAAAAACAGGCUAAGACGAAGGCUACUCUCUCUAGAGCUAAAAUAAAACUCGAUAGAUUUUGACACCUCAUCAUUAAACUUGACAAUUCCUGUCAUAACAGUCCAUGAGAAACAACAGUACACAUUAGAACAAUAGAUAGCAGUUUGAUGAUGCUAAUGGCUCUGAUUUAAAACAAAGCAGCAGCUGCUCACAUCUGAAAUUCGCCCCAGUUUACGCACCGUAAUGCCAUGUUGAACUUUGCAAUACACCUUACUCGGUGUUAUGCUGUAUUACGUUAGACUACUACUUUACAUUUCCUAAUGCACACUGAAGGUCAGUCUAAUCCCUGUCUUUUUCUUUUAUGUAGAUCCUACAUAGAGUAAACAACAAGUUCUAAGGCAGAGCUAAUUCACAUUUCACUACCAUCUACUCUAGGAUUACCCUUUGAUUAAUUCUUUGAGGCAGCCAACAUCUCAGUAUACAGUACAUCCUUCUGAGAGGCCUUGAUAUGGUCAACUCUACAGAACCACAAGUAAAGAUGGAAAGAGACAAGGAAACUGAUAGGGACCAUCAUCAGCUUUGAUUAUUUGCUGGAGGAAAAUGUGUCAUUCAGUACAAUAAGUUAAGUCAGUGGUUCCCAACCCUGUUUCAUAUGACGUGAACCUAUAGCCUCUGAAAAACACUUCAAAUCCAUAGCUUUCAAAAUCAGUCCGCUUUUAUAUUUAAAGGUAUUCACCUGAAAUAACUGAAACUGGACAACUUUAGCUUGCUGUACGCUCAGCUAGUCAGUUAGGUAUUUUGGCCAUCCAUUACUACUAUCGUCGUACUUUAAUCCUACAUUUCAGUACAUUCAUUUGCUACUUGUUUACUACUUUUAGCAAAAUGAUUUAAAUGCUAUUAUCUACCAGUUUCACAAAUUAUCCAUUAUGUUUAGGUAACAAUUUUGUUGCUACUUUUAGCUAACAGAUUCAACUGUGAAUUAUACUUUUAUUAUGCUAUUCCAGUUGAUACUCAGUGCUGUUAUCUAACAAUAUAACUGCUAGUAACAAUUUUAGCAUUGACAGUUUAAAAAAAUUGGCACAGCUUCUAAAACCCUGCAUUUUAUCGGAACACCAGCAGGUGGCGCUAGCCGUGGCUGCAAAAAGGCUACCAGUCGUGUAGAAGUCUAUUUACCUGCUGAGUUAAGGGACUCCAUCAUUUACUUUGGUUUAUGCUGAACAAAAAAUUAAGUCUGUUUUGUAAAUCUUCCUCAUACUAUGUUUCAAAAUGAAGAUUAAGUUUGGCGUGAAAUCAAAAACUCAUUAGCUAGCGACACGGCAAUCACAAGUCGCAUCUGUUACUUUGCAACCAAGAUGACAGCAGCUCAACUCGAGGCUUCAAAAAGGACUUCAGCAACCAGGAGGUGAUGUAGCAAUAACCACAUCCAUCAUACACAGUUUUUAGUAAUUUUUUUUAGAAGGUACUUUUUUGUUGUAAUCUUGCUAGCUGCUGUAUUCAUUAGCUAACUGAUAAAUUGUUAUCCAAUAUACUUGGCAACAUAUUUUUGUCUUUUUUUAGUUCUCUUAACUAAUAAUUCAUCCAUUAGCUAUUUAAACAAUCUAUUUUAAUCAUUUACUUUUCUAUUUUUAGCUUAUCUGGCCCAAGAACCACUGAGCUUAUGUAAUCCCCCAGGCCCUCCAUAAUUAACCAAAAUUACUACUCCUCUUAAAGUAUUGGUCAGGUUAUAGUUAAACUUGUACACUGAUGUGUUUUAACCCAAAUUGUGCUCAAGACUAAAUUAACAAUUGUUGUUUGACAGUCACUUAUCCAGUUUAGUAGGAAUUGCGACUCCUCCUAGAGUAGUGGCCAGAUUUUGUCCAGGAUACGAUUAAUCGUGAGCCUCCUUGACUUUUCAGAUUAUUUUAAUUCAUAGUGUGUGAAACACAACCAGCAGAUUAAUUUAGUGCAUGAUUUGUGAUGGGUCAUGGGCCGGAUGAGCUACUAUAUCAAUGAUAAUCUGGUGAUAAUUUAUACAUUCUGUUUGGUUGCCAUUUACUUCUCAGUCCUCUUCAGCUUCUUCACCUAAUAUUUCUAUGUACCCUGUGACUACCGCAGAAGUAGCCAGGGUUCAUGAACUCAAGGUUGGGACUCACUGAGCUAAAUCAUUGUCAUGAGGAGCUGUGGAUGAGCACUUUUUUCUCUUUUCUUUUUUGUUCACUGGAGCUCAAUUAGUCUUCGAGAAGCGGGCAGAAGCUAUUAAACCUGAGGAGCGCUGGUACCGACAGUACAGGGACAGAGGUGAUGAGCUGUCACAAGAGGAGUCGUUACAUGAAACGAGAACACAUUCGCACAAAGCUGAGGUGGACACACACACCUGACUGACAUAAGAGUGAAGCAGUUCAAGCAGAG